GACGAACGCUGGCGGCGUGCUUAACACAUGCAAGUCGAGCGGUAAGGCCCUCGGGUACGACGAGCGGCGAACGGGUGAGUAACACGUGGGUGACCUGCCCUCCACUUCGGGAUAAGCCUGGGAAACCGGGUCUAAUACCGGAUAGGACCUCUGGAUGCAUGUCUGGUGGUGGAUAGUCUGUGUCUUGACUGAUGCUGGCGGUGGGGAGU
rnacentral:rRNA from 1 species